rnacentral:rRNA from 1 species
UAGCCCCACUGCUCCAGAAUAGCUCUUGGAAACGGGUGGUAAUGCUGGAUGCUCCAACUUGACGCAUGUCUUGUUGGAAAGUGUUAGUGGCAUGGGAUGGGGUCGCGUCCUAUCAGCUUGUAGGCGGGGUAAUGGCCCACCUAGGCUUCGACGGGUAGCCGGCCUGAGAGGGCGGACGGCCACAUUGGGACUGAGAUACGGCCCAGACUCCUACGGGAGGCAGCAGUU